NNNNNUGCGAUGAUGAAAAGGAGUAGCAAAUAACCUUUGACAGAGAGAAGGGAAUGGUGGAAGCCCUUUAGAGAAGUGUUUGUGAAGGUAGUUUCUAAGCAGUUGUGGUGAGAAAGAGUUUAUUAGCCACAAUCGGUUCGUCUCCGUUAUAGGAUAAGAGAAGAGAUAAAUGAAGGUGGUACCGCGAAUUUAUUCGCCCUUUAG
rnacentral:ncRNA from 1 species